rnacentral:rRNA from 1 species
UACGUAGGGGGCUAGCGUUGUCCGGAUUUAUUGGGCGUAAAGAGCGUGUAGGCGGCCAGGUAGGUCCGGUGUGAAAACUCGAGGCUUAACCUCGAGAUGUCAUCGGAAACCAUCUGGCUAGAGUCCGGAAGAGGAAAGUGGAAUUCCUGGUGUAGCGGUGAAAUGCGUAGAUAUCGGGAGGAAUACCAGCGGCGAAGGCGGACCUCGUCGGACUAGUAACUGACGACUGACGG